GCAUUUUUUACGCGAUAAGUUAGCAACCUGUAAUGCCAACCGUCCACCCAAAAACAUCGAGAAUUUAAUCACGUGCCUACAUAAUGCAGUGUUUUUAUGGUGGAACAAAAUGGCGGAUAUUUCGUUGAUACAAGACGACGCAAUCGAUGAUUCAGACGAAGGAGUUUUCGAGCAGGGAGAUGGGCCUUCAGGAGAUCACGUCGACCUCGAAAUCUACGAUUCUCGACCACCACUUCUUCGCAUCAAGGAUUACGAGCAGUCUCCAAAUGAAUUCGAUCGGUAAGUGCCC